rnacentral:tRNA from 1 species
GGCAGGGUAGCUCAGUCUGGUUAGAGCGUAGGAAUCAUAACCCUAAGGUCGUGGGUUCGAUCCCCACCCCUGCUACCA